rnacentral:rRNA from 1 species
CGGGUGAGUAACACGUGGUCAACCUUCCCUUUAGUGGGGAUAACUAGCCGAAAGGUUAGCUAAUACCGCAUACGAUUUAUGAGUGGCAUCAUUUAUAAAUGAAAGUAGCAAUACGCUAAAGGAUGGGACCGCGUCCCAUUAGCUAGAUGGUGGGGUAAUGGCCUACCAUGGCUCCGAUGGGUAGCUGGUUUGAGAGAGCGAUCAGCCACACUGGGACUGAGAAACGGCCCAG